UUAAUAGUCAAACGAACUUACCUGUACGUGAAGUUCGACUGUAAUUAUGCGAAGUUGUUGUCUCGUCCGAAGAUGAUGAAAGAUAACUAGUGUAGUCCCGGCUUACAUCCUCUGGCGUCACACAAUUUUAAAGCUAAAAUAAAAUAUUUCUGAACGCAGUCGUACCUAGGUCCCACCACGCCAUCUAUACCUGUCAACUCAUUCAAGUUUAAAGUAAUUAGGUUUAAUUUUACAACUGGGGCGUUUUGUAAUUACUUACUCUUAAUUAUUACAAUAACCAAGGGUUUGGGUGGGACUCAUCAUCUUCGGACGAGACAACAACUUCGCAUAAUUACAGUCGAACUUCACGUACAGGUAAGUUCGUUUGACUAUUAAUUAUGCUCGUUGUUGUCUCGUCCUCGAUGAUGAAAGAUAACUAGUGUAGAUGUUCAAAGAUAAAAGUUGUAAAAUUAAACAAACAUGUUCAAAUUGUAAAAUUAAACAAACAU